GUGAAUCAUCAAAUUUUUGAACGCAAAUUGCACUCUCCUCGGAGAGUAUGCCUGUUUGAGGGUCAGCCUAUAAAAAAUCGACAUCGUUGCUGUUUCGCGGUGACGUUCGUCGGAAAUUGGGUCAUCUUAAAUCCUUUUGGUUUAAGCGACUUUAAAUUUUCUUUUUUUUCUCUGUGCGUGUCUAUGAGCUAUUUCUUUACACGCUUAAG
rnacentral:misc_RNA from 1 species